CCAGAAGUGGGUCCGGAUUCGUCUCAGGUAAAGAGAACUCGGUUGGACUCCAGAGAAAGGCCACUGGGAGACACAACGAUGCCAGCAAGACCUGUUUGUCCAUCUUUUCUUGGUGGCGAAGGGGACGCUGCCCCUGUGGAACAAGAGCAGGGUCCAGUGUGCUUUGAAGAUGUAGCUGUCCAUUUCACAGACGAGGAGUGGGCACUGCUGGAUCCUGACCAGAGAGCUCUGCACAAGGAAGUCAUGGAGGAGAAUGGUGGGAUCUUGGACUCUCUGGGUAAGGCUUCCUCUUGGAU